CAAUUGUAAAUGUUUUUAACUAUAAAGAUGAACUUGAUAUUUAGCACUUUAGUAGUUUCAAGAUUCAAAGAUAUGAAGAGUAAUAUCUCAGUCUCUUCUUCUUCUAUCAGUUCAUCUGAUGUCGACAUUGAAGAGGUCAUGCAGGCUAACAAUUUUCUGCAUCACCAGAUUGAAUGGCCUCAAGCACUCGUGGAACCGCUUAGUCACAACAACAACCCAUAUCCAGAGCAACAACCUCGGAUACAUAUCGAAUCCUAAUAAUUAGAUUGUGAGCGACCCCAACAACCACAUGGUGAACAACCACAUCAACCACAUGGUGAAAAACCCCUACAACCACAUGCUCAGAAUAAUGACUAACUUCCACCCCAAGGUGUGAUUCAUGAAGAUGAGGAAUAUACAUGGAUGGUCAAAGUUACACCCUUAAAAAAAAUGGAAAAAAUGUGUUGUAUUUCCCGCAGGAAACUUCUCGUCGAGCCCUUUAUAUGAAUCAAGAUGAAAUCACAAUGGUUGAUGAUGUAACGGGCAAAAUUUAUGAAUGUGUGGUUUACAGUUCUAAAAUUAGCUUAAAUAAAAAGUAUAUUGAUCAAGGAUUGUAUAUGUUUGUAGAAGAAAAAAGAUUGAUGACGGGUGAUGAGCUAGAAUUUACUCAUCGGGAUCCUCCCGAGAUUAUACAUGUUAGUUUGCAUAAUAGUUGAAGACGAAGAUGAAUGGGUGGUUUAGAAGUGUUUGAUGAAUGGGAUAUUAUUGAUGUUUUGAUGAUAAAGUUAUUAUGAAUGUUUGUUUUAAAGUUGAUUAAUUUAUUUUGUACUUAUGUUUAGUAUUUUGUUAUUAUGUUUUGUGUUUUAUGUAAGUAC